rnacentral:rRNA from 1 species
CGUACACUCCUGCGGGAGGCAGCAGUGGGGAAUAUUGCACAAUGGGCGCAAGCCUGAUGCAGCCAUGCCGCGUGUAUGAAGAAGGCCUUCGGGUUGUAAAGUACUUUCAGCGGGGAGGAAGGCGAUAAGGUUAAUAACCUUGUCGAUUGACGUUACCCGCAGAAGAAGCACCGGCUAACUCCGUGCCAGCAACCGCGGUAAUACGGAGGGUGCAAGCGUUAAUCGGAAUUACUGGGCGUAAAGCGCACGCAGGCGGUCUGUCAAGUCGGAUGUGAAAUCCCCGGGCUCAACCUGGGAACUGCAUUCGAAACUGGCAGGCUAGAGUCUUGUAGAGGGGGGUAGAAUUCCAGGUGUAGCGGUGAAAUGCGUAGAGAUCUGGAGGAAUACCGGUGGCGAAGGCGGCCCCCUGGACAAAGACUGACGCUCAGGUGCGAAAGCGUGGGGAGCAAACAGGAUUAGAAACCCGGGUAGUCCCA